CGGAAGACUUGCCAAAUGUGUAAUAGAAAUACUGGGUUUUUUCAGUGGUAUUUUGGCAUCAAGACCAUUAUUUCUUUUUUUUUUUUUUUUUUUUUUUACUCACUAAAUGUUUAAGAUUACUAAGACUAGUAUCAAGAGAGAAAUGAUAAGGCCUCAAAAUAUAAGAGGUGAUAAGGCCUCAAAAUUUACAAGGUCUCCUCACAUCUCAAGAGGAUCUAAAGCAAUACACUGUUUAUGCAAAAGAUAUUGUUUUGCUAAACAUCUCAUUUUAUACAACAACAGACAAGAAUACAAUACAUUUGGAAGGCCUGAAAUAUGAACUAAAACAUCUGGUAAUUUUUGCAGGUUUCCAGUAGUUAAAGUGUAUUAUGGAUUAUGCUUUCUGGCCAGGGUUCUUCCUCUUAUGAAUGUAUGUGGUGAGAGGUCUCAUUUGCUGCAUUUUUCUGUUUGGAAUUGGUUUUAGGCUUUGUGGCAUGCUUCUGUCCUGAAGCAAAAUUGAAUUGCUCUAAUAAAUAUGGCUGAGAGCUUCACAGUAGACUAAGUCAAACUACUGGUUAUGAGAAAUCGUAAGAGCUGAAUUCAUCCCUUCUCACUUCCCUGCUUUGCUUUUUGGCUUCUCUAUAGAAAGAAGAAUGCUGUGUCUGGAGUUCCUGAGAAGCUAGCUCUGUAUAAACACAGGAUGUGAUGUAAAGAUCAACACUUUUGCAGUAAAUUAUUUAUGCUGUUGGCCAAAAUUAUUUGUUGAUGUUUGAAGAGAAUUUUGCAUUAGAAUAUUAAGAGCGAAGGCUACUUCUGUGGUGACUGAAUACAGUGUGCUGUAUUUAACCCACCCUCCCGCACAAUUACACGGGCUGCUUUCUAAAGAAAGAGAGGACGGGAAGGGACUGCUAAACGUGAAGAAACUUCCUGCAAAGCCACCAGACUGAAAAGAGGUAUUUUUGCCUGAAUCUAUCCUGCUUCAGUAAGCCAAAUGGCUUGAAAAGCCUUGUUUCCAGCAGGUACUUCCAGACACCUGGUGGGAGCCUGAUUUGUCUUGUUCACUCCUGGAGUGGAAGGAGGCCAGAAAGGAGCAAUGAAAUAGAGGGUGUGCCAUCUGAAACAAAUGUGGAAAACCAAGAAAAAUAUAUAAAGGAAAAAAGGCUAGGAAAAAUUUACUUUUCCAAGAGAAAAGAAUAUGGAAAAGAAGGAGAGGUAAAUGAGAAACUGUAAAAUGUUGUGUAAAAUGAGAAUUUGUGACAACUAGCCCAGCCACCAUUUUUUCUGCAGAUAAGAAUUUCAGGGCUUUGCUCAGUGUGUAGAUUGGUUGGGAAGUUAGUAUAAGAACUAGCUUUAAAAAAAAUUCUUUAAAAAUAUGAUUUUUUUUUUCAGAUUC